AUGUUGUACAGAGGUGAGGCACACUACAAGAAGCAGCCAGCCUCUGCCAUCCAGCGCAUGCUCACUCUGGCAGUGACUUUCUCAAUCAGCCUAAGCAAAGGCUCCUCCACUAAGAAACACAGAAAGAAAAAUAGUGGGUCCAAAGCUGAAAAGAAAAAGAAGUGGCAUCUGCAGGAUGUCCAGCUAGGGGAUGAAGAAGAUGCUGCGAAGAGAAAUCCCAAAGCUGUUGCAGUUCAGUCCGCUCUGCAGAUGGCUCAGUCUUUUCACAGGACACAGGAUUUGAAGACAAAAAACAUCAUAUUCCAGUGGUUGAUUGAACUCCACUAGAGCCCCCAUCAAUAGUGGCAGUGGUGACGGGGUCUCCAAAGUUGGAAAGCGCACUUUGAUAUAAUGCCUCAUUCCGAACUUCACCGGGCAGAAGUUGACCGAGAUCAGAGGCCCUGUGACGAUCGUGUCAGGUAAAAAGUGCAGACUCACCAUUAUUGAAUGUGGGUGUGACAUUAACAUGAUAGUUGAUCUGGCUAAAGCAGCAGAUCUAGUACUGAUGCUUAUAGAUGCCAGCUUUGGGUCUGAAAUGGAAACCUUUGAGUUUCUAAACAUCUGUCAAGUAUACGGUUUUCCUAAAAUUGUGGGAGUUCUCACCCACCUUGACUCCUUCAAGCAUAAUAACUUUGUCUUGUCUGAACAAGACAAAGAAGCAAUUAAAACACAGGUUCUGGAUAGAAGUUUACCCAGGGUGCCAACUGUUCUACCUUUCUGGAAUGGUGCAUGGAGAAUAUCAAAACCAAGAAAUCCACAAUCUGGGCCAUUUUAUUACAGUUGUGAAGUUUAGGCCUCUCACAUGGCAAACUUCUCACCCUUAUAUCCCGGCAGAGAGGAUGGAAGAUUUGACAAACCCAGAGGAUAUCCAAAAAACAUCAAAUGUGACCGGUAGGUGUCACUUUAUGGUUAUGUAAGAGGAGCACAAUUGAAAAAUAAAAGCCAAAUUGACAUGCCAGGGGUAGAAGAUUUUGCCAUGAGUGACAUCGGUUUCCUCCCAGACCCUUGUGCUCUUCCUGAACAACAAAGGAAGCACUGUUUAAAUGAGAAGGAGAAGCUGGUUUAUGUGCCUCUUUCUGGGGUGGGGGUGUGCUGUGUGACAAAGACGCUGUCUAUGUUGCCUUGGUGGCAGCCACAGUUUUCAGGACGAGGUGGGGCCCAUCCAUGAGCUGGUCCAGAGUCUCAUCUCCACCAUCUCCACCAUUGAUGCCAAGAUGGCUUCAAGUCAGGUGAUGCUGUUUGCUGGUUCCAAGCCACUUGGGUCAGAGGAUAUAGAUAAUCAAGGGCUGUUGAUGUCAAAGGAGGAAAAACAAAUGGACUUGAAAACUGGCCAAGUGCAUCAGAAAGCCAUUUUUGGAGAUAAAGAUGAAUCUGGAGAUAGUGAUAAUGAAGAAGAUGAUGAAAUGUCUGAAGAUUAUGGGUUGGAAAAUGGCUCUAGUGAUGAGGAAGCAGAAGAGGAGGAAAAUGCUGAGAUGACUGAUCAGUAUAUGGCUGGUAAGGGCGUCAAACGACAGAAACUUGAAGAGUUGGAAGAAGACAGUGAAAUGGAUUUGCCAGCAUUUGCUGACAGUGACGAUGACCUUGAGGGGAGCUCAGCGGAAGAAGGGGAAGCAGAGGAAGCUGAUGAAAGCAGUGAAGAAGAGGACUGCACUGCAGGAGAGGGGGGCAUUUCAGGAUCAAAGGCUGUUGGAGAAGGUAGUGAAGCAGGGCUAUCACCAGCGAAUUGCGCAGUGCUGGAGUGACCCCGUGUGGAUCUGGAGAAGUCUUUGCUGAUGAAAAGCAGCCCUCAUGACUUCGAUUCUGGGCAUUGCACAGCUGAAGGCGUUGCAUCUGAAGAUAAAUCUAAAAAGCUCCUCGCUCAGUGCAGAGGGAAGAGGACUCAGAAAAUGGCGAGGCUAUUAGAAAAAGUUUUCAAAGCCUUCUCCAGUGAGCAGUAGUCAGAAACUGGGGUCAAGGAACUUAAUUGAUGAGACCAGUGAUAUAGAAGAUUUACUCAAAGAGGAAGAAGAUUACAAGGAAGAAAAUAAUGAUUCCAAAGAAGCCUCAGAUAAGCAGAAUUUGGUGCCCUCCAAGUGGAAGGAGGGCCUUUUUCCAAAGGCGGCUGAGGGCUUUCUGAGGCAGCCAGCAAAGCAGCUCCCAAACCUCUGAAAGCUUAUUUAUGGGACAGUGGCAGAAGAUAAUGAAGAAGAAGAUCAUGAUACCCAAGAAGAGCUUGCAGGGUUGUUUCAUGUCAACCAGCCUGACAGAGAGUGGAAGCACAAGGCUGACUCUUUGGACUACUCCAGAUUUCUUGUAGGCCCCCAUGACUGGGAUUUAGAGGAAGCUAUGAACAGUCUCAGAGAUUGUUUCGAAGUGACUGGAAAGUGGGAAGGCAGAAAAGAUGCAGCCAAGGUCUUAGCAGAAGAUGAGGAGUUCUAUGGUGAUUUUGAAGACUUGGAAACAGGGGACGUGCACAAGGGAAAAUCAGACCCCGAUACUCAGAAUGAAGAUGUAGAGAAAGAAGUUAAGGAAGAAAUUGACCCCAACAAAGAGGAAAGUGCCACGAAAAAGCAUUUGGAUAAGAAGAGAAAAUUGAAGGAGAUGUUUGAUGCAGACUAUGAUGAAGGAAAAAGCACAUAUUUUGAUGAUCUUAAAGGAGAAAUGCAGAAACGAGCACAGCUGAAUCGCGCAGAAUUUGAAGAUCAAGAUGAUGAAGCCAGAGUUCAGUAUGAGGGUUUUCGACCUGGGAUGUACGUCCGCAUUGAGAUUGAAAAUGUUCCCUGUGAAUUUGUGCAGAACUGACCCCCAUUACCCCAUUAUCCUGGGUGGCUUGAGCAACAGUGAGGGAAAUGUUGGAUACGUGCAGAUGCGUCUGAAGAAACAUCGCUGGUAUAGGAAAUCCUCAAGUCCUGAGAUCCAAUCAUAUUUUCUGUAGGGUGGAGGAGGUUUCAGACCAUCCCGCUCUAUUAUAUCGAAGACCACAAUGGAAGAAAAAAGCUUCUAAAGUAUACCCCACGGCACAUGCAUUGCGGAGCAGCCUUUUGGGGCCCUAUCACUCCACAGGGAACUGGUUUCUUGGCAAUACAGUCUGUCAGUGGCAUAAUGCCUGAUUUUCGGAUACCUGCCACAGGAGUUGUCCUUGAUCUGGAUAAAUCCAUAAAAAUUGUGAAGAAAUUAAAGCUAACUGGUUUUCCAUAUAAAAUUUUCAAGAACACUUCAUUUAUUAAGGGAAUGUUUAAUUCUGCCUUGGAAGUAGCCAAAUUUGAAGGUGCUGUGAUUCGAACUGUCAGUGGGAUAAGGGGGCAGAUCAAGAAAGCGCUCUGAGCUCCAGAAGGAGCUUUCCGGGCCAACUUUCAGGAUAAACUGCUGAUGAGCAAUAUUGUUUUCAUGCACACUUGGUAUCCUGUUUCCAUCCCAGCCUUCUAUAACCCAGUAGCAUCUUUGUUGAAGCCCAGUGGGUGAGAAGGAAUGUGGACCACCAGCCAACUCUGGGUUAACCAUGGCGUCAGACUAAAGGCGAACAAGGACUCUCUGUGUAAGCCAGUCCUAAGGCAAUCCUGAGGCAAAAAUUCACUGCAGAUUCCAAAAGCCUCGCAGAAGGCCCUGCCAUUUAAGAACAAGCCCAAGACCCAAGCAAAGGCAGGCAAGGUGCCGAAGAACAGGUGGAGACCGGCCGUCAUACGCGAGCCUCAUGAAAGAAAGAUCCUCGCGCUGCUGGAUGCUCUGAGUACGGUGCACAGUCAGAAGAUGAAGAAGGCCAAGGAGCAGCAGCACCCGCACAAUAAGGAGCACUUCAGAGCCAAGCAGAAGGAGGAGGAGGAGAAGCUGAAGCGGCAGAAGGACCUCAGGAAGAAGCUCUUCCGAAUUCAGGGGCAGAAGGAAAGAAGCAACCAGAAGUCCAGUUUCAAGGGGGCUGAGGGCCAGUUGCAGUAAGCCUUUGGACUGGAGGGACUGUCCCUGGAUCUGCGGAGGUGGACAGUUGCAAACAUCACAGUUUGAAUGCCUGUGAAUGACAAGUCAGUGGGCAAGAGCUCAAGAGAUGUCUCUACCCUAACUGUGCCUGCAAGAGGGGGAACGGAGAAGCCUGGACUGCUGGGACUGGGUUCGUUCUCACCACCUGGGGCUGUAGAGCUUUAAAGUGAUGUAAGCUGUGGUUCUGUGGAUUCUCUUACUUUCCUCUGCAUGCCUCAGUUUAAUUAUUUUGUGCUACAAAACUAUCAUUAAAAAUUUUUUUUGUUAGUUUUG